rnacentral:tRNA from 1 species
GGGGAUGUGGCUCAGUGGUAGAGUGCUUCCCUAACAUGUGUGAGGCACUGGGUUCAAUUCUCAGCAUCACAU